rnacentral:rRNA from 2 species
CCCAGAGUUUGAUUCAUGGCUCAGGGACGAACGCUGGCGGCGUGCCUAAUACAUGCAAGUCGAGCGGACAGAUGGGAGCUUGCUCCCUGAUGUUAGCGGCGGACGGGUGAGUAACACGUGGGUAACCUGCCUGUAAGACUGGGAUAACUCCGGGAAACCGGGGCUAAUACCGGAUGGUUGUUUGAACCGCAUGGUUCAAACAUAAAAGGUGGCUUCGGCUACCACUUACAGAUGGACCCGCGGCGCAUUAGCUAGUUGGUGAGGUAAUGGCUCACCAAGGCAACGAUGCGUAGCCGACCUGAGAGGGUGAUCGGCCACACUGGGACUGAGACACGGCCCAGACUCCUACGGGAGGCAGCAGUAGGGAAUCUUCCGCAAUGGACGAAAGUCUGACGGAGCAACGCCGCGUGAGUGAUGAAGGUUUUCGGAUCGUAAAGCUCUGUUGUUAGGGAAGAACAAGUACCGUUCGAAUAGGGCGGUACCUUGACGGUACCUAACCAGAAAGCCACGGCUAACUACGUGCCAGCAGCCGCGGUAAUACGUAGGUGGCAAGCGUUGUCCGGAAUUAUUGGGCGUAAAGGGCUCGCAGGCGGUUUCUUAAGUCUGAUGUGAAAGCCCCCGGCUCAACCGGGGAGGGUCAUUGGAAACUGGGGAACUUGAGUGCAGAAGAGGAGAGUGGAAUUCCACGUGUAGCGGUGAAAUGCGUAGAGAUGUGGAGGAACACCAGUGGCGAAGGCGACUCUCUGGUCUGUAACUGACGCUGAGGAGCGAAAGCGUGGGGAGCGAACAGGAUUAGAUACCCUGGUAGUCCACGCCGUAAACGAUGAGUGCUAAGUGUUAGGGGGUUUCCGCCCCUUAGUGCUGCAGCUAACGCAUUAAGCACUCCGCCUUGGGGAG